CAGCAGCCACGGGAAAACGGAGGGAGCUAGCGUUGUUCGGAAUCACUGGGCGUAAAGCGCACGUAGGCGGCUAUUCAAGUCAGGGGUGAAAGCCCGGGGCUCAACCCCGGAACUGCCUUUGAAACUAGAUAGCUUGAAUCUUGGAGAGGCGAGUGGAAUUCCGAGUGUAGAGGUGAAAUUCGUAGAUAUUCGGAAGAACACCAGUGGCGAAGGCGACUCGCUGGACAAGUAUUGACGCUGAGGUGCGAAAGCGUGGGGAGCAAACAGGAUUAGAUACCCCUGUAGUCCCUGUCUCUUAUAC
rnacentral:rRNA from 1 species